AGAGAGGGUUUCUGCCAUCAGAUCCCUCACCACGACGGACUCGAGACUUACUCUGCGGCUUCUUCCUGGACCCACCCGGUAUCUGCACCUUCUCGUUGCUCAAGACCGGCCUCGCUGCUCCUGCCCUUCGGCCUCGGACCGUCAGAACGUCAGGCAACGGGACUGCUGCUGGAUCCUGCUGAUCUUCGAGAUUACAAAGAGCUUCAAGACACAACAAUUUCCUGUUGUUUUUCGUUGCUGUUGAUUUUUGUUUGCAUAUUUUUUUUUUGACAGAAUUUGACAAAAGCAUUAAACACCAGAAAAAACAAUUAUACUUAAGGCUUCUAAAGUCAUUUGUACACUCAUUACAUUCAAAAUGGGUCAUUUUUAAUAAUAAGAUUUUGCUGUUCUUUAGUUAGUAAUCCUUUUGCCAGGUUAAAUUAAUUCCAGAUUUACAAGAUGAAGUUCUUAUUAUGUAUGGAAGAAUCUGAAGUGAUGUUUGUUUUAACUUGUUUUACAGCAAUAAUUUAUAUGUCAGUGACUGUAUAGAAAUAAAUCCUCCCUCAGGAAUUUUAAGAUACUAUAGGGUGAUCCAGGGAGAUGCUAUGUAUUGACUCUGGACAUGAUUGGUAUCUUCCAUUUUUGUUCAAGGAUCAAUCCUUUGCUUCCAAUUUCCUCCUAUGUAUUGAUAAAAAUCCACAAAGAAGCAAAGAUGGGCAACCAAAUGUAAUACUAAGCCACUUAUAUGUGAUGUUAAUAUAAUUACUAUCUUGCCCACACGAUGGCUGUAAUGAUUUACUUUUUUGAUCUUUUUUUUUUUUUUGUAGCCAUUCUACCAAAUAUGCGUAUGUGUUUCUCAAAGUUAAGCCCAAAAGUCUGUAGAUAUUCAGUGUAAAAAGGAAAUUUUGCAUGAACACAGCAAGAUUUGGGUAUUCAUUGAGAUUUUUCUGUCUCUGAUUUCUUUCAAGUACAAAGAGUUUUUAUCCUUUUAGAUUGCAAAGAAAGCUUGGAUAAAUGCUUUGUGAACUUUCUGAAUCUAUGGAUUCAGUGGCAUCCCCAUACAUACGAAUGUCCAUGUCUUACCAGAACAUAAUUUUGAAGUUCAAGUACAGUGGUGAACUUGUCUUAUAUUUCAAGACAAGAAACAAAUUACCAUACAGCAGAAUUUACAUGAAUUUACAUGAAUUUACAUGAGCAGAAUUUACAUGAAUGCAUAAAAGGAUAAAAAAUCCCACUUUGUGAUUUGAGAAAUGAAAUCUUGUCUUGAUUGUGUAUUUACUAUUGCCAUCUUGAUGUAUUAGUUUUAGUUGUGCAUGUACCAUAUCGAAAUAUAAAGUAAAUCCAGAACAUAAAGUAAGAUGAAACUGAGGAGUUCAGAAGCUAAUUCAUAAGGAUAAAAAAAUACUUGAAAUAAUAAAUACUACAACAUAACAUGACAGAAUUAUUACAAUUAUUUUUCUGGCACAGAUGGAUAAGUGAGUGUUAAACAGUGCUUUAAAUAUAAACUUUUAUUUUCCAGCCUAUUUGUUGCUCACUUCCAAUACUACUAAUAAAAAAUCAGAUAUUUGCC
ensembl:lncRNA